rnacentral:lncRNA from 10 species
GCCUGGAACAUCUCCCAAGGUUUCAAAUAAUUCAUCAGUGAAUUCUUCUCAACCUGGUCAAUCAUGUGAACUUAGAAGAUGAUUCCUCCCCAGCUGAUCCUCAGGUGAGACAUCAGCCUUGGCCAUCAUCUACAUCUGGAUUCCUGACCCAGAGAAACUGGAACACUAAGACCCAUUCUUCUUCUCAAGUAUCCAAAAAUAAAGUUGAUCCAAGUAAGAAGUGGACAGCAUAAAAGAUUGUAUGGAAGCUAUAAUGCAUCUACAUCUGCAGUAACUAAUCAUAAAAUGAUUUGUAUGAUCAUUCUUCACAUGAUUAGAAUUACUAUGGGAAAGAAGAAAAAGAAAUGCCUCUCUGGAUGGUGACUAUAACCUAUAGCCUUGCCCAAUAUGACUCAGGAUUUGGUACUGGCUGUGCCUUUCAUGGGAUGCUUACUUAUCCUGGUCGAUGGCCUAAAGCCCAACCGUCCAGCUUAUAUCCAGGGUCUCAAGCCACCCAGGCUGGAGUGCAGUGGCACAAUUAUGGCUCACUGUAGCCUCACCUUCC